rnacentral:tRNA from 1 species
UAUAAAACUAACAAGUCCUCAGAUUGUGGUUCUGAAUGUCGAGGGUUCGAGUCCCUUCAGUCACCCCCCCA